rnacentral:rRNA from 1 species
AUUGAACGCUGGCGGCAGGCCUAACACAUGCAAGUCGAACGCGUUGCGGACGGGUGAGUAAUUUCUGGGAAACUUCCUGAUGGAGGGGGAUAACUAAUGGAAACGGUUGCUAAUACCGCAUACAAUCAGAUGUGCCCAGAUAGGAUUAGCUUGUUGGUGGGGUAACGGCUCACCAAGGCGACGAUCCCUAGCUGGUCUGAGAGGAUGACCGACCACACUGGAACUGAGAAACGGUCCAGAUGCCUACGUGAGGCAGCAGUGGGGAAUAUUGCACAAUGGGCGCAAGCCUGAUGCGGCCAUGCCGCGUGUAUGAAGAAGGCCUUCGGGUUGUAAAGUACGUUCAGCGGGGAGGCGUUACCCGCAGAAGAAGCACCGGCUAACUCCGUGCCAGCAGCCGCGGUAAUAC